CCUACGGGCGGCAGCAGUGGGGAAUAUUGCACAAUGGGGGAAACCCUGAUGCAGCAACGCCGCGUGAAGGAAGAAGGUUUUCGGAAUGUAAACUCCUAUUAGUAGAGAAGAUAAUGACGGUAUCUGACGAAUAAGCACCGGCUAACUCCGUGCCAGCAGCCGCGGUAAUACGGAGGGUGCAAGCGUUACUCGGAUUCACUGGGCGUAAAGGGCGCGUAGGCGGGGUAGCAAGUCAGAUGUGAAAGCCUAGGGCUUAACCAUAGAACUGCUUUUGAAACUGUUAUUCUAGAGUACGGGAGAGGUAGGUGGAAUUCCUGGUGUAGGGGUAAAAUCCGUAGAUAUUAAGAGGAACACUCAUGGCGAAGGCGACCUGCUAGACUAUAAAUGACGCUGAGGCGCGAAAGCGUGGGGAGCAAACAGGAUUAGAUACCCCGGUAGUC
rnacentral:rRNA from 1 species